rnacentral:rRNA from 1 species
AGUGGGUACGGGCAGACUAGAGUGCAGUAGGGGAGACUGGAAUUCCUGGUGUAGCGGUGAAAUGCGCAGAUAUCAGGAGGAACACCGAUGGCGAAGGCAGGUCUCUGGGCUGUUACUGACGCUGAGGAGCGAAAGCAUGGGGAGCGAACAGGAUUAGAUACCCUGGUAGUCCAUGCCGUAAACGUUGGGCACUAGGUGUGGGGGACAUUCCACGUUUUCCGCGCCGUAGCUAACGCAUUAAGUGCCCCGCCUGGGGAGUACGGCCGCAAGGCUAAAACUCAAAGGAAUUGACGGGGGCCCGCACAAGCGGCGGAGCAUGCGGAUUAAUUCGAUGCAACGCGAAGAACCUUACCAAGGCUUGACAUUCACCGGACCGCCCCAGAGAUGGGGUUUCCCUUCGGGGCUGGUGGACAGGUGGUGCAUGGUUGUCGUCAGCUCGUGUCGUGAGAUGUUGGGUUAAGUCCCGCAACGAGCGCAACCCUCGUUCUAUGUUGCCAGCACGUGAUGGUGGGGACUCAUAGGAGACUGCCGGGGUCAACUCGGAGGAAGGUGGGGAUGACGUCAAAUCAUCAUGCCCCUUAUGUCUUGGGCUUCACGCAUGCUACAAUGGCCGGUACAAAGGGUUGCGAUACUGUGAGGUGGAGCUAAUCCCAAAAAGCCGGUCUCAGUUCGGAUUGAGGUCUGCAACUCGACCUCAUGAAGUCGGAGUCGCUAGUAAUCGCAGAUCAGCAACGCUGCGGUGAAUACGUUCCCGGGCCUUGUACACACCGCCCGUCAAGUCACGAAAGUUGGUAACACCCGAAGCCGGUGGCCUAACCCCUUGUGGGAGG